rnacentral:rRNA from 1 species
GACGAACGCUGGCGGCGUGCUUAACACAUGCAAGUCGAACGGAAAGGCCCUGCUUUUGUGGGGUGCUCGAGUGGCGAACGGGUGAGUAAAACGUGAGUAACCUGCCCCUGACUUUGGGAUAACAUCUGGAAACUGGGGCUAUUACAGGAUAGGAGCUCUUGCAGCACGGUGUUGGAUGGAAAGAUUCGGCGGUGGGGUCUAGUCUCGCGGCUUAUGAGCUGGAUGGUGGGGUAGUGGCUUACCAAGGCUUUGACGGGUAGCCGGCCUGGGAGAGUGGCCGGGCACCUUGGGACUGAGAUACGGCGCAGUCGCCUACGGGACGCAGCGGGCGGGAAUAUUGCACAGUGGGCGGACGCCUGAUGCGGCGACCCCGCGUGCGGGAUAACGGGCUUCGGGUUGUGAACCGCUUUCGACUGAGCCGAAGCCUGAGUGACGGUAAUGGGUAAGAAAGCACCGGCUAACUACGUG